rnacentral:lncRNA from 1 species
AUUCGGGUUACAACUUGGAAUACUUUAAUGCGCUGAAUCAGCAUUUUUUCAAAAUUAUUUAAAUUUUUUAUAACAGCUGGAACUUGAGGAGAGUGCAUUUUGUUCAUUGCAGCUGUGGGAGGUACUAAAUUAUUCCUGAUUUUUCCCAAACAAAAAGCACAUAUAAAUUCAAUCGGUAUUUCAUUAUCUUUUGCAAAUUGCAUAACUUUGUUCCAUAUUUCAUUUGUAGGGGGUUUACGCAAGUUUUCAAUCACAGAUAAAGUUGAAAUGGGACACAAUUUUUCACAACAGCAACAGCUAUUAUUCGGCAGAUCAAGCAUACUUUUGUUGUAGGCUUCAAAAUUCAGUUUAUAGUAUUGUAGUGGUAUCGGGUAAAGACCUCGCGUCUUUACCGAUCCACUUGGAGGAAGCUGGUUUGGGGACAUGGCAAGUCGUGAGAUAUCGCGGAUUUCCAUGCCAGUGACAGGGUCAGGCGUGUUAGAUGCGAGUUUUUGAGACGCGAUUGUUUAUGUCCACGCGCGGAGCUUGCGGCGAGAGUGACCCCGGCUUCCGGCGAUUCGGAAGUCGGAGUUGGGCACGAAAGCUUCGGGCAUUGGCAUAAAAGCUCGCGGAAGCCGCUCGUACGGGGUUAGUCGGCGUGAGGUGUAAAGACCCGAGACAACCCGGUCCACCCCCCGUUAGAGUAGCCAGUAAUUAGUGCCAAUAAAGUGUAAGUUACAAAAUAUAAAGUGUGGUUCCACUUUCCCCCGUAGGGUUCCCACUACAUGUUAGAGGCGCCGUGUCUUCUUUGAAAAAAGAUACAGUAGCGAUCCCGGUACCCCUUUUAAAAAGAAAAAAAGAAAAUUUGUAAAAAGUUGCGUUGUGUAUAAAGUGUAAUUGUAUUUAUAUAACGUGUUUUGUCGUAAUUUAAAAUCGUAUUUACCAUCGUAAUUUAUCGUAAUUUAUCGUGAAAGUGCAUCGAGACAGCCGCAUCAUGCAGAAAGUGUUUCAGAUACCUCCACGGAAAUUGGCACAAACGAAGGGAGUGUCGAGCCCGUUACGGAGCACGGAGACCCUGACACGUUCGGGAUUUGCAAAUCUGAGGAGAAACCAGCAGCAUGUGAAACUCAAGAAGGAUAUGUUCAUAGUAUUCAAAUUUUUCCUAGGAAAUUUGUAAGUUCUGUUGUAAAAAAUGGUCAUUUUGAUCAGCAGGAAACUGGAAUAGAGGCAUCAAAACGUUUGCAUCAAAAUUCUUCUUGGAGGAGAUCGCCUCCCAAUGAUUGGAGAUUUAGGAGAAAAUUCGAUCCUGGGGGAUUGUAUCAAUCAAAGAUUUUGAGUAUCAAAACGUGUAACAUUCUUAUCCUGAUGACGAUGAUUUUUUUUCUCACAGGCCACGAUUAAAUAUUCUAUGAUUUUCAGAUUUUUUUUGUUCGUUUAAUUUUAAUCUUCUUAACAGACUUUUCUGAAGGACGGGGUAGUGUCGCGCGUCCCAUAUCAGGCGUGUGGAAAAUAAUAGUAAAAGUGAAAAUUUUAAAGCCCCCCCCCUCCCCAAAGAGAGGAGUAAUAGAGUGCGUUUGGGAAAAUGGGUUUUUCUUCAGUUUUUACCAUCUAAAAAACUGGACAGUUUUUUCCGUCUGUUUUGUCUGUUACAAAACUUUCGGUGGUGGAUGGCGUCGAGUGAAUCGAUCCCCCUCACCCUCUUAUGGGGUGGUUAGAUGUAGCAGAUAUUUUAGAGUAUAACAGGAUUAAUUUCACCAGUUAAAAAAAAAAAAAAAAAAAAAAAAAAAGUUUUUAUUUAGCUCUCGAUUUUAGUUACUUUCAGUCGACAUUCACUGGGUUCAAAGUGGUCGUUUGAUUACAUAAUUUUCAUAAUUUAAAGAUUUUUUAUUUUGUUUGUUAAAUAGUUUUUUUGCCUAUUCCACGGUUUGUUUAUAUUCUUUUUGUUGUAAUUUUUUUUCUUUGCCGGCUUCGGAGAGGAAAGCGAUCGAGAGUUCAAUGUUGUUGUGGGUUAGUUUACAGCAGUUUAAUAUUCAUGAAAUAUAUAGCUUUUUCUUUGUACAUUUAAUUUUGUUAGGUACUUACUUUUUUGAUUUUUUUCAAUUUUAUGUAGUAAUUUUUGGAUUUAUCUAAAUUGUUGGCAGCACUGAGUCGGAUGGUGUUUUUGCGUUGAUUGGUUUUUUUCCCUUAAAGGAUUAAACUUAACUUGGAAAAAUUUAAAUAUAAUAAUAGUAAACGAAAUAAGAGAAAAGAAUGGGAAAGAAGAUAGAAAAUGUAUUUUUUUUUCAUCAAUUCAUUUAUUGUUUUUUCUAUUUAAUAUUGUUUUUUUAAUUUUGUUUCAUGUGCCCGGGCGGUUUUUGUUCCAACGGCUUGAUCAUCCCUUGGACGCGGCGUUGAUGUAGCAGCAUUCGGGGGAGUCUCAAAGGAGGAAGUACUUGAUCUAAAACCGUCGGCACCCAGGCCAACAUGUUUUCAGGGCGUUUCAUGAUGUCGUUCUCAGGACUCUGCAAGUACGAGCACUGACGGCUUGCCCCGACCACCUGGCACUGUGCACUUUGACAUAAAUUGUAACGUGCGGGCAGCUCAUCACAGCGCGCAACAUCAUGCAAUAUCGCGUAUCUCGAAGCAGUCCGGCACCAUCUCCC